GGAAAUAUAGAUUCAAUGCUUUUGUUUUGUUUCUGGGCUGCUUGCUAUCAGCAAAGUAGAGAGAUUUAACGGAUCUUGCCGAGAAUGCAAGCCUCAUUCCAAGGAAGCCAGAGCUCAGAAGACAUGGAACAAAUACAAUGAAAACAUAACUUGAGUGUGAUUUCAUUAUGAAGUCAGAUGGAAUGAGGAGUGUGUAAAUCCAGAAUCAGAAUCCCAGCGACGAAGCUUUUCUUGCUCUGUUACCUUGGAAAAUGCUUUGAACCAGACCAGAUAAGAAAAGUAAAAGUCUGGAGUGUAAUCCUUCCAAUUGUCUUUUGGCUUCUCUUCUACUUCUACAAAAAGUUCAACAAAAAUUAGAAUUUGAAACAACGGAAAGAGAGAAAUUUUAGGUUAGUAGCUAAAUCCCCAAGGAUACUAAUUAGAGAAAGAUGUUGGAAUUGCCUUAAUGAGUCACUGCCAACGCAAGUCCUAAGGAAGCAAAGACUGUGAGUAAGCAAAGGUAGCCAGCUGCUGGGAAGAGGACAAUAGAGGAAAAGGUCAGAGGGACUUUAAAAGACUGACUGUGGGCUCCCUGAGGGAAGGAGGGAUGGAGAGAGUAUCGGGUCCUAUAGAAUACCUUAAUUGUUUUUAUGACUUCUCUUUUCCAUAUCCAGUUCACAUGUACUCCUUUCUGUGCAUUAAAUUGAGUUUCUAUUGGCUUCUUUGUAACAAAAAGAACUGAACAGAAACACAUAUCUAUUGGACAAAGAGCAAUAAAAUGAUAUAAUAACUGUAUCUGAGGGUUUUUUCAUUUUAAAGAAUAAAACAAAACAAAAAUCAAACAAAAAAAACCAUCUAUCUGAUGUUGCUCCACUCCCAACAGCAUCACUAACCGGUAUGUACCCAGCUUCAGCUAAAUAUCCCUAAAACACCUCUUACUUUCCAAGGCAAAGUCUCCCACUGUUGAGUCGUGUUGACUGAUAAAAAGUUCCCUCUGGGGUAAAAAAAUGAAAUUAGUUUUACCUAUCCUGGGGUCACCUCCAAAUACAUAUGCCUGUAAUGUAUUUCAAUUAGAAUACAUUACACACUCCCUGUCACCUUCACUAGGAGAAAAUCAGCAAAGUCAACCAGCAUUUUUAGUUGUCACAACUAAAAGGUACUCCUAGCAUCUGGUAGGCGGAGGCCAGGGAUGCUGCUAAACAUCCUACAAUGGACAGGACAGCCUCUCACAACAAAGAAUUUCCAGCCCAAAAUGUCAACUUUGCCAAAGUAGAAAAGCCCUGUACUAAAGGAGACCUUCCAUAUAAUAGACGGAACCCCCUCUUAGAAGAGAGGCCUUAGAAAUGCUAUGGUUUUGGAGCUUUUCUAUUGAGCCCCUCAUAUUUUCCAUCAACAGCAAGGCCCAGGUAUUAAUUAUAUGGUCUUAUUCUGUGACCUGGUUUGUCAUUCCUGAAAUAGCUAAAAGUAAAACAGAUGUCAUUUCAAUAUCAAGAAGCAGUGGAACAGAAAGUGCCAAGGAGCAGGUGUAUCAGAUACUCAGAGGUGGUAAAGUCAUGGCUGUCCAUGCUUUGGAGCUAGGGCAUCUACAAUGCAAAGGAAGAUUUUAAAUGUGAAUUUUGUGUUCUGGUCUAUGAGUAGAUGAUUCACGACACUAGUUUGAAAAUGCCUGAGUAAUAACUUGACUUUGUUUCUGCACUGGACAUCUGUUGUUUUUGUUCACUGGCAUCACUUCCCUUUUCUUUUUUUCUUUCUUUUUUUUUUUCUUUUUUUUUUUUUUUUUUUUUUUUGAGACACAGUCUUGCUCUGUCCCCCAGGCUGGAGUGCAAUGGCAUGAUCUCGGCUCACUGCAACCUCCACCUCCCAGGUUCUAGCGAUUCUCCUGCCUCAGCCUCCUGAGUAGCUGGGAAUGCAUGCGCAUGCCACCACGUCUGGCCAAUUUUAUUUUAACUAGAGACAGGGUUUCAUCAUGUUGGCCAAGCUGGUCUCGAACUCCCGACCUCAGGUGAUUCCUCUGCCUCAGCCUCCCAAAGUGCUGGGAUUACAGGCAUGAGCCACCAUUCCCGGCUCCCUUCCCUUUUCUUAUGGGAACAGCAUUGAAUUUUCCUUUGAGAAAAUACCUCUCCCUAUAGGGGUAGUUCCUACAAAGUUUCGAUGGAAUUAUGUCAGAGGCUCUUAUACUUUCACACCAUGGCUUGGCAAGUAUCUCAAUCUAGGCCAAUCAGUCUUUGUUUCCUUAGGAUAUACAUCUUGAGUGAAGUAAUGCGUGAAUGGGAAACAUUUAAAGCUGAUUCAUGUGAAUUGGGAUAGUUCCUGAACAGAAUGCCUACGGUUCUUUCUAU
rnacentral:lncRNA from 10 species